rnacentral:rRNA from 1 species
CCUACGGGCGGCAGCAGUGGGGAAUAUUGCGCAAUGGGCGAAAGCCUGACGCAGCGACGCCGCGUGAGGGAUGAAGGUCUUCGGAUCGUUAACCUCUGUCAGCAGGGAAGAACGGUCACUGUGCUAAUCAGCAGUGAAUUGACGGUACCUGCAAAGGAAGCACCGGCUAACUCCGUGCCAGCAGCCGCGGUAAUACGGAGGGUGCGCGCGUUAAUCGGAAUUACUGGGCGUAAAGCGCUCGUAGGCGGUAUGUCAAGUCAAGGGUGAAAUCCCCGCGCUCAACAUGGGAACUGCCUUUGAAACUGGCAAACUGGAGUGUGUGAGAGGAUAGUGGAAUGCCAGGUGUAGGAGUGAAAUCCGUAGAUAUCUGGAGGAACAUCAGUGGCGAAGGCGACUAUCUGGCACAUAACUGACGCUGAGGAGCGAAAGCGUGGGUAGCAAACAGUAUUAGAUACCCUGGUAGUC